rnacentral:rRNA from 1 species
GAUGAACGCUGGCGGCGUGCCUAAUACAUGCAAGUCGAGCGAACGGACGCGAAGCUUGCUUCUCUGUUGUUUGCGGCGGACGUGUGAAUAACACGUGGAUACCCUCCCUAUCAUACUGGUAUAACUUCGGGAAACCGUCUCUAAUACCGUAUAAUCUUUUGAACCUCAUUGUUCAAAAGUGAAAGACGGUCUUGCUGUCACUUAUCGAUGGAUCCGCGCUGCAUUAGCUAGUUGGUAAGGUAACGGCUUACCAAGGCAACGAUGAAUAGCCGACCUGAGCGGGGGCUCGGAGACACUGGAACUGAGACAAGGGCCAGACUCCGACGGGAGGACGCAGUAGGGAAUCUUCCGAAAAAGGAGAAAGCCUGACGGAGCAACGCGGCGUAAGUGAUGAAGGUCUUCGGAUCGUAAAACUCUGUUAUUAGGGAAGAACAUAUGUGUAAGUAAAAGUGCAAAUUAUGACGGUACUUAAUCAGAAAGCCACGGCUAACUACGUG